rnacentral:rRNA from 1 species
AUUGAACGCUGGCGGCAGGCCUAACACAUGCAAGUCGAGCGAGCGGCGGACGGGUGAGUAAUGUCUGGGAAACUGCCUCAUGGAGGGGGAUAACUACUGGGAAAGGUAGCUAAUACCGCAUACCAUCAGAUGUGCCCCCAUGGGAGUAGCUCGUAGGUGGGGUAACGGCUGACCAAGGCGCCGAUCCCUAGCUGGUCUGAGAGGAGGACCAGCCACACUGGAACUGAGACACGUUCCAGACUCAUACGGGAGGCAUCAGUGGGGAAUAUGGCACAAUGGGCGCAAGCCUGAUGCAGACAUGCAGGGGGUAUGAAGAAGGUCUUCGGGUUGUAAAGUACUGUCAGCGGGGAGGCGUUACCCGCAGAAGAAGCACCGGCUAACGCCGGGCCAGCAGCGGCGGUAAUAC